rnacentral:rRNA from 1 species
UACAGAGGGUGCAAACGUUGCUCGGAAUUACUGGGCGUAAAGCGCGUGUAGGCUGACAUGCAAGUCGGGUGUGAAAUCCCAGGGCUCAACCUUGGAACUGCACUCGAAACUGCACGUCUUGAGUACUGGAGAGGGAAGCGGAAUUCCGGGUGUAGAGGUGAAAUUCGUAGAUAUCCGGAGGAACACCAGUGGCGAAGGCGGCUUCCUGGACAGUAACUGACGCUGAGACGCGAAAGCGUGGGGAGCAAACAGG